CCCAGACUCCUACGGGAGGCAGCAGUGGGGAAUAUUGCACAACGGGGGGAACCCUGAUGCAGCGACGCCGCGUGGGUGAAGAAGUCAUUCGUGACGUAAAGCCCUAUCAGCAGGGAAGAAAAUGACGGUACCUGACUAAGAAGCCCCGGCUAACUACGUGCCAGCAGCCGCGGUAAUACGUAGGGGGCAAGCGUUAUCCGGAUUUACUGGGUGUAAAGGGAGCGUAGACGGCGGCGCAAGUCCGGAGUGAAAGCCCGCGGCCCAACCGUGGGACUGCUCUGGAAACUGUGCGGCUUGAGUGCGGGAGGGGCAGGCGGAAUUCCUAGUGUAGCGGUGAAAUGCGUAGAUAUUAGGAGGAACACCGGCGGCGAAGGCGGCCUGCUGGACCGCGACUGACGUUGAGGCUCGAAAGCGUGGGGAGCGAACAGGAUUAGAUACCCGAGUAUAG
rnacentral:rRNA from 1 species